AAAAAAAUUCACAGGAACCUGUGUAGGAAAUUAAAUUGUCUAAUAAGUUAAUAGGAGUGUCGAGUAAAAGCCGAAUAACGAGCCGAUAUUGUUGAUGCUGCCUAUGAAGAAGUAUUUUUUAGAUAGAAAACGCGAUAGCGCGAACAAUGUAUAGAGCGCUAUAACAAGUUGAUAGUUUAUUCAACGUAUCGAUUCAUUUUUGUUAAUACAAAGUUCGAUUUGCCAAUAUUUUUUGAAAACAUACUGGAGAAUUUUUCUUGGUAUGUAUGUUCAAGCAGAGAAACAUCAAGUGAGGUGUAGAAAAGAUUGAAUGAGUAAAACAAUACGCAAAAAAAUUUGUUUAAUGUAAAAAAACAAAACGUUUAGUUUACUUCGUUUUGUUGUCCCAACUGGAGUCGUGCUAACGAGUGUCUAUUCUCAUUUAUAUAAAAAUUUUAGAUUUGGAGACGUAUAAUCCAGCUUUUUUUUGUGAGUAAACAUGUGUUACUGUAUGUUGUUCUAUCAGCGUCAAUGUCACCCAUAUUAAGUUUUCUGCUUGAGUUUCAUUCUUUUCUGCGCCACUCAAUCCAAUAAUCCAACAUCUGGACUGCUAAGGAUUUUCUGAUAGAGCCUAACUCAAAUGACAAGGGUGUGUCAAUUUCAAUUCAUUAAAAAAAAAUCAUGCCAAUAAGACAUUUGGGACAUGUGGCGGAAACCUUUUUGCUUUAGGGGUCGUCCGAUUCACUAAACAGCAUCUUUGUUACGAAGAAUGUUCUGAUUAAACCUAUCUUGAAUAAGGGGUUACAAAGAAAGUUUUUGUUAGCAAAAUUGUUUUAUCCUACGAAAAAUACAAUUUAUUGCUAAUUUGAAAACAUAUUUAAUCUUUAAUCAAUAUGAACCGUCGGACUGUAACUCGGUUGAGUGUUGGCUGGUUGAUAAAAGGCCCUUGUUUUUCUUUACGCCACACUAGAUGCAACAAAACGUCAAAAAAAUGGAAACACAGAGGGUCGUCUUGGCCACCUAUAAGGUGUUGAUUCCUGAUCGUUAAUCGAUUUGAACGCUUUUACAACUACAGAAAGUAUUUGUGUUUCUAGUUAACGAGGAUAUCAGUAUUGGUACAACAGGACUAUAAUCGAGGACAUAUUAAC